rnacentral:lncRNA from 1 species
UUUAACCCAGGAAUAAAGUGGAGACAAAUGGCCAAAGAAGACUCAAUCCAAUGAGGAAACAAACUCAAUUGGGGAUUAAUUACAUCCAGAUAACAAACUGGAAAGGGAAAUUGAAACAAAACCUUCUCUGAGGAUAAAACUCCAUGGGGAAUUAGCAAGGAUAAGCGCUUUUUGCUGAAGGUUGACACUCUAUUGGAGAGAGGAUGUACACAUUCAGUAGGGAAAACAAUAGAGAGCAGGGAAUGCACCGAGAAAUGCAAGAUGCAAUAAUAAACACCAAG